UACGAAGGGGGCUAGCGUUGCUCGGAAUUACUGGGCGUAAAGCGCACGUAGGCGGACAUUUAAGUCAGGGGUGAAAUCCCAGAGCUCAACUCUGGAACUGCCUUUGAUACUGGGUGUCUAGAGUAUGGAAGAGGUGAGUGGAAUUCCGAGUGUAGAGGUGAAAUUCGUAGAUAUUCGGAGGAACACCAGUGGCGAAGGCGGCUCACUGGUCCAUUACUGACGCUCAUGUGCGAAAGCGUGGGGAGCAAACAGG
rnacentral:rRNA from 1 species